rnacentral:rRNA from 1 species
AUACGUAGGGUGCAAGCGUUAAUCGGAAUUACUGGGCGUAAAGCGUGCGCAGGCGGUUUUGUAAGACAGUGGUGAAAUCCCCGGGCUCAACCUGGGAACUGCCAUUGUGACUGCAAGGCUGGAGUGCGGCAGAGGGGGAUGGAAUUCCGCGUGUAGCCGUGAAAUGCGUAGAUAUGCGGAGGAACACCGAUGGCGAAGGCAAUCCCCUGGGCCUGCACUGACGCUCAUGCACGAAAGCGUGGGGAGCAAACAGGAUUAGAUACCCUGGUAGUCCACGCCCUAAACGAUGUCAACUGGUUGUUGGGGAUUUAUUUUCUCAGUAACGAAGCUAACGCGUGAAGUUGACCGCCUGGGGAGUACGGCCGCAAGGUUAAAACUCAAAGGAAUUGACGGGG